rnacentral:rRNA from 1 species
GCUGGCGGCGUGCUUAACACAUGCAAGUCGAACGGUGAUGCCCAGCUUGCUGGGCGGAUCAGUGGCGAACGGGUGAGUAACACGUGAGUAACCUGCCCCAGACUCCGGGAUAAGCCUUGGAAACGAGGUCUAAUACUGGAUACGAGACGCCCCUGCAUGGGGAGUGUCUGGAAAGAUUUAUCGGUCUGGGAUGGACUCGCGGCCUAUCAGCUUGUUGGUGGGGUAAUGGCCUACCAAGGCGACGACGGGUAGCCGGCCUGAGAGGGCGACCGGCCACACUGGGACUGAGACACGGCCCAGACUCCUACGGGAGGCAGCAGUGGGGAAUAUUGCACAAUGGGCGAAAGCCUGAUGCAGCGACGCCGCGUGAGGGAUGAAGGCCUUCGGGUUGUAAACCUCUUUCAGCAGGGAAGAAGCGCAAGUGACGGUACCUGCAGAAGAAGCGCCGGCUAACUACGUGCCAGCAGCCGCGGUAAUACGUAGGGCGCAAGCGUUGUCCGGAAUUAUUGGGCGUAAAGAGCUCGUAGGCGGUUUGUCGCGUCUGGUGUGAAAACUCAAGGCUCAACCUUGAGCUUGCAUCGGGUACGGGCAGACUAGAGUGCGGUAGGGGUGACUGGAAUUCCUGGUGUAGCGGUGGAAUGCGCAGAUAUCAGGAGGAACACCGAUGGCGAAGGCAGGUCACUGGGCCGCAACUGACGCUGAGGAGCGAAAGCAUGGGGAGCGAACAGGAUUAGAUACCCUGGUAGUCCAUGCCGUAAACGUUGGGCACUAGGUGUGGGGCUCAUUCCACGAGUUCCGUGCCGCAGCAAACGCAUUAAGUGCCCCGCCUGGGGAGUACGGCCGCAAGGCUAAAACUCAAAGGAAUUGACGGGGGCCCGCACAAGCGGCGGAGCAUGCGGAUUAAUUCGAUGCAACGCGAAGAACCUUACCAAGGCUUGACAUACACCGGAAACUUCCAGAGAUG